GCCUCAAGUCGAGAAGAGGCAGGUCUCUGCGGCCCCGGUAACUCGGGCGCGCCUCCGCCGCAUCUCCUCUUACAGAGGACCCAGGCGGCCCGGCCCCGUUUCCCAACACCUGGGAGGGGAAGAGGGCGGGGCCCAAGUGUCCUCACGUAGAGAGGAGGCCGCAGGCUGGGACGCGUUGGCCUGGCACGCGUCCGGGUGGUGGCCACCUCCGUCCUGCGUGGCCCCCGGGCAGCCCUGGCUGGGUCCUGAGCGUCCCGAGCGUGUUCCGGGAAGGUGACUCAGCGACGCUUUCACGGGUCGAGAAACUAUGCGAAACUAGGAACCGGGAGAAGAAGCGGGGGCGGGGCGGCAUCGCCCUCUCGCAGGGCCGCGGCGGGUGUCCGCUGAGGUCUGAUCUUGAACCUACAGGCCCCCACCCGCAACACCCAGGAAUCCGGCGCCAGGAGGGGAGCGCGGCGCUGCGGCCGCAGUGCUGCGGUCACGCGACGCGGAGACUCAAGCGCCUGCGGGAGGAGGGGGCUCCUUGCGGGAGCCGGGGCUCGAUCCCUCUCCUCCCCCUUCGCCUGCCUUCUCCUCCUGCCAGGACUCCGGUCAAAGUCGGGGCUUUGGCGCCUAGAAGACGCGGGACGCGGGCGGGGUGCUCCCCGAGAUCUCAGUCUUGGAGGGAGGGUGCUGCGGAGACCGACAGGGUAGCCUCCCCCUUCUCCCCCGCUCGGGAGGGCACUUCCAUCAGUCCUGAAAAGCCGCUGCCUUAAACCUUGGAGUCUGGUGGGAAACUGAGGCCCUCGGGAAAGGAAGACCUGGCUGUGCACGAGUCCGCAGGGAGAAAGCCCACCUGCCACUGGGUCCCUCCGCCUCCCAGCGUCCCGGGCUGGAGCCCUUGGGGUCGUGGGGCAGGACGGGGGCGGGGUUGACUGGAAACAGAGCGACGAGGGAGGCGGAGCAGCCUGCUGGGUUCAUUAUCCGGCCUUCGGGGGCCCAGCGGGAGGGAGGUGAAGGGCCGAGCCCUCUGGCCCCGGUUCCAGUCUGCACAAUGGCUGCUCUGUCCUCCCCGCGGCCUCGCCCCCGCCCCCACCCCCACGGUCCCUGCUCUGCCCUCCUCAUUCUUGUCCGUCACCUCCCCCCUCCAGGCUGCCUCCCUCCAGGCCCACGCCGCCCUCCAGCCCCUCUCUAAAGAGCUUUAUUUCAUCUCCAGAAACACUCGUCAGCAUCCCUGGCCCAAGAGACAAGAUUGAGCAAAAGCAAGAUGCUUUGCCCCUUUGAUAAUGGGGAACUGAAACCCUGAGAGGUGAAGGGUCUCGCCUAAGCCACUGAACCAGUUCCCGACAGAGCUGAGAAGCAAACACAGGCCCCAACCCCCAGGCUGAGAGGCCCAGCUGACCCCAGGCUUCUAGCUGAUAUCUGAGUAUCUGUCGGCCGGGUGGGUUGCUUGCCACAGAGCUGCCCCAGUAACCCAGCUGCUGGGUCUCCCUGGGAAAGAGGAAGCAACCCGAAGCCCUCUCCAGGCUUCAUCAUCCAGGUUCUGGUUAAGCAACUACCUGCUGUGGCCAAGGGCCUCUGGAGUCAGGCUUGAUCUGUGCUGAUCGCCAACCCGCAGGAUCCUAUCAUUUUAAGCUGAGGUUCCAGUUGCCAUGUGACAAGUAUCUGUGACCACUCGGUUCUCUGACUGAGAACUUUGAACACUUAAGGAGGGAAGACAGUCUAACUGCAAAAUAUGUUUAGCGUGGAAUCGGAUCUGCCGCCUUCAUCUCUUGGCAGGGCCCUGACUCCCCGUGGCCUUUUUCCUCCUUCCAUGUCUUUCCCCUAUGAGCCUGCCUUGCCAGUGUGCUGCUGUAAAUCUGGAGAUAUGGGCGAGGAGACGUCUCCUGUUUGGCAGACUCUAGAAGGAAAUGUCCAGCAGGUUUGGAGCCUCAAGGAUCAGCCUGUUUUAUAGAGAAACAUUAAAACAACAACAACAAAAAAAAAAAACACUGGAACUGAGCAAGAGAAGUCUCACUUCAAACUGCAAAAAACACAUUCUUUGCAAAAUGAACAGAAGUGUCUUUCUACUCAGUCCAGACCCUGUACUGGUCAGAGUUCUCCAGAAAAGAAACAGAACCAACAUGAUAUCUCUCUAUUUAGAAAGCAAAUGUUGAAGAGCUAAAAGGAAAAAUAAAAAACUCCACAAUCAGAGAACAAGCAGAUGAAAAAUAAUUAAGGUAAUAGAGAAUUUGACUACAACUAACAAACGAUCUAACCAACAGAUGUAAAACACACACCCCCAAACUGUAGAACACAUAUUCUUUUCAGGUGCAUAUAGGGUAUUUACCUACAUAGAUCACAUGCCGGGCCACCAAGCGUGUCUCAACACAUAGCAGAGGAUUGAAUUCACUUAGGGUGUGUUCUCUCACAAAGUGGAAUUAAAUUAGAAAUCAAUAAUAGAUCUCUAGAAAUUUCCCAAAGUUUAGAAAUCAUGCAGCACACUUCUAACAAUUCACAGGACAAAGAAGAAAUCACAGUGAAAAUUACAAAGAUUCUCAGACAUAAAAAACCAUGUCGGGACUUCCCUGGUGGUCCGGUGGUUAAGACUCUGCGCUUCCACUACAGGGGCACGGGUUUAAUCCCUGGUGGGGGAACUAAGAUGCCGCAUGGCGCGGCCAAAAAAACCAAAACAAAACAAAGCCAUGUCAUUUUCAGCAAAUGGCAAACAGCUCAGAAAGCCACAGACCUAGGACGUGGCCUGGAGAAAGCAGGGAGAUGGAGAGGGAGACUCAGGCCAUAUCAGGCUAAGGAGUUUGGGCUUAUAAACCGUGGAAAGCCCUGGAGGCUUUUAACCAGGGGAUCUGCUCUGUGGAUGUAGUGGGUGGACUAGAGAUACUGGAGGGAAAGAAGGACGGAACGUGAAAGAAUGAGGCCAGUUGGGAGGCCCCUGCCUGAGAUACGAGAUCAAUAGCUGUUCUCUGGGGCUUCCCUGGUGGCACAGUGGUUAAGAAUCUGCCUGCCAAUGCAGGGGACACGGGUUCGAGCCCUGGUCCGUGAAGAUCCCACGUGCCGU